GAUGAACGCUGGCGGCGUGCCUAAUACAUGCAAGUCGAGCGAAAAGAUCAGGAGCUUGCUCCUUUGACGUUAGCGGCGGACGGGUGAGUAACACGUAGGUAACCUACCUAUAAGACUGGGAUAACUUCGGGAAACCGGAGCUAAUACCGGAAAAUAUUUCGAACCGCAUGGUUCGAUAGUGAAAGAUGGUUUUGCUAUCACUGAUAGAUGGACCCGCGCCGGAUUAGCUAGUUGGUAAGGUAACGGCUUACCAAGGCGACGAUACGUAGCCGACCUGAGAGGAGGAUCGGCCACACUGGAACUGAAACACGGUCCAGACUCCUACGGGAGGCAGCAGUAGGGAAUCUUCCGCAAUGGGCGAAAGCCUGACGUAGCAACGCCGCGUGAGGGAUGAAGGUCUUCGGAUCGUAAAACUCUGUUAUUAGGGAAGAACAUACGUGUAAGUAACUGUGCACGUCUUGACGGUACCUAAUCAGAAAGCCACGGCUAACUACGUG
rnacentral:rRNA from 1 species